AGAUGAUACAAAGUUGUACAGAAGCAUCGUAUCAGUGGCUGACUGCGAAGAUCAACAGCAAGCUCUUACUAACCUUGAUACAUGGACAGUGUCAAUAACCUUAAAUUUAAUGCAUCUAAAUGCUGUUGACCGUGACAAGAAAGAGAAGCCCAAUAUCUCAAUCUCUUGGGACACUCAUAUCAACGUUAUCGUCGCUGAAUCGAACAAGCUGCUGGGUUUACUGAAGAGAACUUGUUUCUUGUUGACGGACGUAUAAAUUUAGACGUACGCUGUAUCUGUCACUCGGCAAUCUUGU